rnacentral:rRNA from 1 species
AAGGGGGCAACCCUGAGUAAAGUGGCGCACGGGUGAGUAACACGUGGAUCAUCUACCUUUUAGUGGGGAAUACCCCUGGGAAACCGGGGAUAAUACCGCAUAAGCUCGAGAGAGGAAAGCAGCAAUGCGCUGAAAGAGGAGUCCGCGGCUGAUUAGCUAGUUGGCGGGGUAACGGCCCACCAAGGCGAAGAUCGGUAGCCGGCCUGAGAGGGCACACGGCCACACUGGCACUGAAACACGGGCCAGACUCCUACGGGAGGCAGCAGUGGGGAAUCUUGCACAAUGGAGGAAACUCUGAUGCAGCGACGCCGCGUGAGCGAUGAAGCCCUUCGGG